rnacentral:rRNA from 1 species
GACGAACGCUGGCGGCGUGCUUAACACAUUCAAGUCGAACGGAAAUGCCCUGCUUUUGUUGGGUUCUCGUUUGGCGAUCGCUUGUGUAACACUUGUGUAUCCUGCCCUUGACUUUUGGAUAACUUCAGGAAACUCGGUCUAUUACCCGAUAGUAUCUCCUGCUGCAUUGUGUGGGUUGUUAAGUUUCGGCGGUUUGGGAUGGACUCGCCGCUUAUCAGCUUGUUUGUGGGGUAGUGCCUUACCAAGGCUUUGACGGGUAGCCGGCCUGAGAGGGUGACCGGCGAAAAUGGGACUGAGAGACGGAACAGAGUCAUACGGGAGGCAGCAGUGGGGAAUAUUGAAGAAUGGGAGGAAGCGUGAUGAAGAAAAGAAGCGUGCGGGAUGAAGGCCUUAGGGUUGAAAACAGAUUACGAAUGUGAAGAAGAGUGAGUGACGGUAAUGGGUAAAGAAGCACCGGCUAACUACGUG